ACGAACGCUGGCGGCGUGCUUAACACAUGCCAGUCGCACGGAAAGGCCCUGCUUUUGUGGGGUGCUCGAGUGGCGAACGGGUGAGUAACACGUGAGUAACCUGCCCUUGACUUUGGGAUAACUUCAGGAAACUGGGGCUAAUACCGGAUAGGAGCUCCUGCUGCAUGGUGGGGGUUGGAAAGUUUCGGCGGUUGGGGAUGGACUCGCGGCUUAUCAGCUUGUUGGUGGGGUAGUGGCUUACCAAGGCUUUGACGGGUAGCCGGCCUGAGAGGGUGACCGGCCACAUUGGGACUGAGAUACGGCCCAGACUCCUACGGGAGGCAGCAGUGGGGAAUAUUGCACAAUGGGCGGAAGCCUGAUGCAGCAACGCCGCGUGCGGGAUGACGGCCUUCGGGUUGUAAACCGCUUUCGCCUAUGACGAAGCGUGAGUGACGGUAAUGGGUAAAGAAGCACCGGCUAACUACGUG
rnacentral:rRNA from 1 species